UACGUAGGGUGCGAGCGUUGUCCGGAAUUAUUGGGCGUAAAGAGCUCGUAGGCGGUUUGUCGCGUCGACUGUGAAAACUGGGGGCUUAACUCUCAGCUUGCAGUUGAUACGGGCAGACUUGAGUUCGGUAGGGGAGACGUGGAAUUCCAUGGUGUAGCGGUGGAAAUGCGCAGAUAUCAGGAGGAACACCGGUGGCGAAGGCGGGUCUCUGGGCCGAUACUGACGCUGAGGAGCGAAAGCGUGGGGAGCGAACAGG
rnacentral:rRNA from 1 species